rnacentral:rRNA from 1 species
UAGGAAUAUUCGUCAAUGGGGGAAACCCUGAACGAGCAAUGCCGCGUGAGUGAUGAAGGUCUUCAUGAUUGUAAAACUCUGUUGUAAAGGAAGAAUAGCUACCAUAGGUAAUGAUGGUAGUCUGACGGUACUUUACCAGAAAGCCCCGGCUAACUACGUGCCAGCAGCCGCGGUAAUACGUAGGGGGCGAGCGUUAUCCGGAUUUAUUGGGCGUAAAGCGUUCGUAGGCGGUUUGUUAAGUCUAAGAUUUAAGCCCGAGGCUCAACCUCGGUUCGUCUUAGAAACUGGCAAACUUGAGUGUGGUAGAGGCAAGUGGAAUUUCUAGUGUAGCGGUUAAAUGCGUAGAUAUUAGAAGGAACACCAGUGGCGAAGGCGGCUUGCUGGGCCAUCACUGACGCUGAGGAACGAAAGCGUGGGGAGCAAAU